CACGAAGGGAGCUAGCGUUGUUCGGAAUCACUGGGCGUAAAGCGCGUGUAGGCGGCUCGGUAAGUCCGCUCUGAAAGCCCGGGGCUCAACCCCGGGAGGCGGGUGGAUACUGCUGAGCUCGAGUCCGGAAGAGGAGUGUGGAAUUCCUGGUGUAGCGGUGAAAUGCGCAGAUAUCAGGAGGAACACCAAUGGCGAAGGCAGCACUCUGGGACGGUACUGACGCUGAGACGCGAAAGCGUGGGGAGCGAACAGG
rnacentral:rRNA from 1 species